rnacentral:rRNA from 1 species
GUCUACAGCUAUACCAUCCUGAACGCACCCAGUCUCGUCUGAUCUUGGAAGCUAAGCAGGGUCGGGCCUGGUUAGUACUUAGAUGGGAGACCACCUGGGAAUACCAGGUGCUGUAGGCU